rnacentral:tRNA from 3 species
AAGGCUUUAGCUUAAUUAAAGUGUCUGUUUUGCAUGCAGGGGAUGUGGGUUAGUUUCCCGCAAGUCUUA